rnacentral:rRNA from 1 species
GACGAACGCUGGCGGCGUGGAUUAGGCAUGCAAGUCGAACGGUAUCAUCCUUUCGGGGGUGAGAGAGUGGCGAACUGGUGAGUAACACGUAGGUUAUCUACCCUCAAGACGGGGACAACCCAGGGAAACUUGGGCUAAUACCGGAUGUGAGCAACUUUUAGUUGUUUGAAAGGUGGCGUAAGCUGUCGCUUGGGGAUGAGCCUGCGUCCUAUUAGUUAGUUGGUGAGGUAACGGCUCACCUAGGCAAUGAUAGGUAGGCGGCCUUAACGGGUGGUCGCCCACACUGGGAUUGAGAUACGGCCCAGACUCCUACGGGAGGCAGCAGUCGAGAAUAGUCUACAAUGGUCGGAAGACUGAUAGUGCGACGCCGCGUGAACGAUGAAUCCCUUCGGGGUGUAAAGUUCUUUUAUAUGUGAGCAGUGCUUCUUAUAUUAACAGUAUGGGGAGAGAGAUAUUAGCAUAUGAAUAAGCAACGGCUAACUCCGUGCCAGCAGCCGCGG